UUUUUUUUUGCUUUUAAGUAGCGUUUUCUUACCCAGAAGGAGGAAAAAAAGUCUGAUGCUUUGGAGAAUGCCAACUUUAAGGAGAAAGAAAAAUCAACCUUUUCUAGCCAAGGAACAAAAUAUAAAGAGUGCCAACUGGUAUCACUUUUAAUCCUAUUCUUUUCCCUCUGUUUUGACAAUGGUUUUGGAUGUUAUUGAAUUUAAAAAAAUUAAGUAUCAUUUUAUGUACAACGUUUGAUUUAUCAACAUGUUUAUGGUUUGUCUCAAUUAAUAUUACUUAUUUUUUUAUCGUGUUCUUACACAGAAGGAGAAACAAAAGUCUGAUGCUUUGGCGAAUGCUAAAUUUACGGGGAAACAAAAAUCAACUUCUUCUACCCAAGGAACAAAAAAUAAAGAUUGUCAACUGGUAUCACUUUUCAAUCUAAAUUAUUCCCCCCUACAUACAAAUAUGCGUGCUCUUUUAUUUUUUAGAUAAUUCAGGAUAAAGUAAGGGGUCUUAUGUUUCGGAUUUGUAAUUGUUUUAUUUUAACUCAUAUAUUUCGAUAAUUUUUAAAUUUCAAAUAUUUUCAGGUAUAUAUUGAAGGAUACAUGAUGUAAGUUGUAAAGAAUAUACUUGGUGUAAGCUGUAAAGUAAAGGGUCUUAUGCUCAACAUGUUGUUUCUCUAUUUUCUGCAUGUAUGUAUUUUUUGUGUUCUACCUUUUGUAAAGUUAGCUAAUUAUACUUGGUUAUAAUGAUUUUGGGUAUGGAAUGAUGGUUUUUUUUGGUGGUUUGGAUAUGUAUGGAUGAUUGUAAGUUUUGUAAACACGUUUAAAUUUUUAUGGAUAUCUAUUUUUCAAGAAAACUCUACCGAAAUUUUUUGAAAUUAGUAGCGACUAGCUUGAUGUUUUGGUGGUUGGAUGUGUUGAUGAUUGAGUAUGUAUUAAUUUUUUUGUGUAUGUAUUUUUUUUGUUCUGUAUUUUGUAAAGUUAAUUAAUUAUACAUGGUUAUGAUGAUUUUGGGUAUGGAAUGAUUGUUUUUUUGGUGGUUUGGAUAUGUAUGGAUAAUAGUAAGUUUUAUACACAGGUUUAUAUUUGUCUGGAUAUUUAUUUUUAAAGGAAACUCUGUCGAUUUUUUUUAAAAUUAGUAGGAAACUUUGUCUGG
rnacentral:lncRNA from 1 species